rnacentral:rRNA from 21 species
GUGCCUUCGGGAACUGUGAGACAGGUGCUGCAUGGCUGUCGUCAGCUCGUGUUGUGAAAUGUUGGGUUAAGUCCCGCAACGAGCGCAACCCUUAUCCUUUGUUGCCAGCGAUUAGGUCGGGAACUCAAAGGAGACUGCCAGUGAUAAACUGGAGGAAGGUGGGGAUGACGUCAAGUCAUCAUGGCCCUUACGACCAGGGCUACACACGUGCUACAAUGGCGCAUACAAAGAGAAGCGACCUCGCGAGAGCAAGCGGACCUCAUAAAGUGCGUCGUAGUCCGGAUUGGAGUCUGCAACUCGACUCCAUGAAGUCGGAAUCGCUAGUAAUCGUGGAUCAGAAUGCCACGGUGAAUACGUUCCCGGGCCUUGUACACACCGCCCGUCACACCAUGGGAGUGGGUUGCAAAAGAAGUAGGUAGCUUAACCUUCGGGAGGGCGCUUACCACUUUGUGAUUCAUGACUGGGGUGAAGUCGUAACAAGGUAACCGUAGGGGAACCUGCGGUUGGAUCACCUCCUUA